rnacentral:antisense_RNA from 1 species
CUUCAACGAGCCGAGCCACAGGGGGUGUUCGGGGGUGCGCUCCUGCCCGUACGUCGCGAUCAGCGCCUGCGCCUC